GACGUAGGGCGCGAGCGUUGUCCGGAUUUAUUGGGCGUAAAGCGCGCGCAGGCGGCUAUGUAAGUCUGGUGUUAAAGCCCGGGGCUCAACCCCCGGUUCGCAUCGGAAACUGUGUAGCUUGAGUGCAGAAGAGGAAAGCGGUAUUCCACGUGUAGCGGUGAAAUGCGUAGAGAUGUGGAGGAACACCAGUGGCGAAGGCGGCUUUCUGGUCUGUAACUGACGCUGAGGCGCGACAGCGUGGGGAGCAAACAGG
rnacentral:rRNA from 1 species